rnacentral:rRNA from 1 species
GUCGGGCGGCAGCGCGGGAGCAAUCCUGGCGGCGAGCGGCGAACGGGUGAGUAAUGCUUCGGAAUCUACCCAGUAGUGGGGAAUAACCAGUCGAAAGACUGGCUAAUACCGCAUACGACCUAUGGGUGAAAGCGGGGGAUCGCAAGACCUCGCGCUAUUGGAUGAGCCGAAGUCGGAUUAGCUAGUUGGUGAGGCAACGGCUCACCAAGGCGACGAUCCGUAGCUGGUCUGAGAGGACGACCAGCCACACUGGGACUGAGACACGGCCCAGACUCCUACGGGAGGCAGCAGUGGGGAAUAUUGGACAAUGGGGGCAACCCUGAUCCAGCGACGCCGCGUGUGUGAAGAAGGCCUGCGGGUUGUAAAGCACUUUUAGUGGGGAGGAAACGCUCAGACCUAACACGUCUGGGAAUUGACUUAACCCAAAGAAAAAGCACCGGCUAACUCUGUGCCAGCAGCCGCGGUAAUACAGAGGGUGCAAGCGUUAAUCGGAAUUACUGGGCGUAAAGCGUGCGUAGACGGUUAUCUAAGUCGGAUGUGAAAUCCCCAGGCUCAACCUGGGAAUUGCAUUCGAGACUGAAUAGCUAGGGUUCGGAAGAGGGAAGCGGAAUUUCCGGUGUAGCGGUGAAAUGCGUAGAUAUCGGAAGGAACAUCAGUGGCGAAAGCGGCUUCCUGGUCCAGAACCGACGUUCAGGCACGAAAGCGUGGGGAGCAAACAGGAUUAGAUACCCUGGUAGUCCACGCCAUAAACGAUGAGAACUAGACGUUGAGAGGGUCUGCCUCCCAGUGUCGCAGCUAACGCGUUAAGUUCUCCGCCUGGGGAGUACGGCCGCAAGGUGAACUCAAGGAAUUGACGG